CAAGACAUACGUAUUAUUUUGAUAGUUGCUUCUCAUCAGACGAAGCAAAAACUUUAAGUAGUGGAACAAGCACUGAAAUUAUUUUCUAACCAUUUUGUCAUUCAAAUGGAUCCAAGCUACAACUCCUCAGAAAGUCUGGUCAGAAACUCAAGCUUUUCAGAAGAAUUGCUGUCUCAACCGUGGAAAUGUUAUGAUAAAUCAAUAAUGCAUCACCAAAUGUUCAAAAUGAUGGAGGAAUAUGGGCAGGAAAAUCCAAGAAAAGUUAAACUUGUAAAUGGUGUAAAGGUUAUUUGUUCUGAAG